GCCCACCUAUCUCAGUCGGUAGAGCAUCAGACGUUUAUUCUGAGGGUCGUGGGUUCAAGUCCCACGGUGGGCG